CAUAGAUGACACCUGUCAAAUGAACGGGAAAAUAACGCAUGCGUUUUUUGCGAAGACAACUAAACCGCAUCCUUUGUUUUCUAGUUUUCUGUUUUAUAACAUAUUUCGCAAAUUUUCAAGUCGUCUAAGACUUGAUUGACAAAAUAAUACAUACUUCAUAUUUAGUGAUAAACCCAAGUAUAUUCCAGUAGUAUCGUACGCAUCGUAAACAUAAAUUUCGUUGACAAAUUAGAUGAAUAAUAAAGACAUACAACUGAGUAAAUCAUUAUCUUGGCUGCUACGACACGGAGCAGUCCGAGAAGGUUUCGCACUAAGCAAGAAGCCAUUGUUAUCAGUAAACAAAACAAACGCAUUGUUUCAGCCCUGAAGGAUAU